CUUGUCUUACUCGUUGAAGACGUUCAAAAGUUUUUAAGAUGCUAACUCUCUUAAGUUUUUUUACAGACUAACUCUGGCGCAAGUCCGUUUUUUCUUUGACAGCGUGUAGCAAAGCUGACUGCUUGUUACUAUGGUUACUCCGUACGUUUAUUUAUCACUUAGGCUGUAUUUUCGUUGCCCCUCUCGGUUAGCUUGACAUUUUCUGGAGUCAUUUGAAUACAAGUAGGGGACAGAUGUCACCGAUUGAGCCAGCCCCCCUCCCACUGCCCCGCCUCUUCCCUUCCCUAUCAAAGGCCUGGGAGUGCCGGAGUACACAUCAAUCAUUCUGAGUGACAGAAAUCCUGAAAAUGUACCACCGCUUCCAACAACAAAAUUAAUUCUGUGACACUGAAGACUGCUGGGUACUGAAUAUUCAGCUCUG